GGUUGUGGCUCAGUGGUACAGCACUUGCCUAGCAUGUUAGAGGCCCUGGGUUUGAUUCUCAGCACCA
rnacentral:tRNA from 1 species